rnacentral:rRNA from 1 species
AACAUUUUACAAUGGGGGAAACCCUGAUCCAGCGAUCACUCGUGUAUGAUGAAGGCCUACUGGUUNUAAAGUACUUUUGGCAGAGANGAAUAGGUAUCUCCUAAUACGAGUUACUGCUCACGGAAUCUGCAGAAUAAGCAACUGCUAACUACGUGCCAGCAGCCGCGGUACUAAGUAGGGUGCAAGCGUUAAUCGGAAUUACCGGGCGUAAAGCGUGUGUAGGCGGUUCGGAAAGAAAGAUGUGAAAUCCGAGGGCUCAACCUUGGAGCUGCAUUGUUAACUACCGAGCUAGAGUACGUCAGAGGGUAGUACAAUUCCCGGUGUAGCAGUGAAAUGCGUAGAUAUGUGAAGGAAUACCGAUGGCGAAGGCAGCCCCCUGGGAUAAUAAUGACGCUCAGACACGAAAGCGUGGGGAGCAAACAGG